UUUACGGAAAUGAAAGAAGUUCAACAAUAUUACACUAGAAGAGUAUUGGAAAAUUUAAAAAAUAUUGGCGGACAUCCGAUAAUUUGGCAUGAUCCGAUAGAGUUUGGUGUAGUACCUGAAAAAGAUGUGAUUCUUCAAGUAUGGAAAGGAGGUAGUGAGGAUGAUCCGUGGGAACCAUAUAUGGAGAGAGCAAUAAAAGGUGGAUAUCAAGUGUUGUUGUCAUCGUGUUGGUAUUUGAAUUAUAUAAAUUACGGAGAAAGUUGGAA